rnacentral:snRNA from 1 species
GGACGGGAGGGCAGGCUGGCCAUGACAUCCGUCACCCGCUGGCUGGCUGGUGAGUGCCCCCUUCCGCCCUCACUGCUCCCUGAGCACCCCUUCCAAAGCUGCCUGCUCCGUUGCGGACGACCACCUUCCCCGAAGAAGAAGAGGAGCUGCCUUUGGUCAAGGGUAUCCCAGCCAGCUGCGCUGGAGCCCCUGCAAGCAUCUCCAAACAAGCUCUUAGCGGAGCAUCCAAAUCUAAGGACAGAGUUGAUGGAAACAACCAGCAUGCACUGCCCUUGAAGUUUCCUUCAAGGU